rnacentral:piRNA from 1 species
GCUUCGAUCAUGGGCAUCAUACACAAAUG